rnacentral:rRNA from 1 species
GACGAACGCUGGCGGCGUGCUUAACACAUGCAAGUCGAGCGGUAAGGCCCUUUUGGGGGUACACGAGCGGCGAACGGGUGAGUAACACGUGGGUGACCUGCCCUCAGCUCUGGGAUAAGCCUGGGAAACUGGGUCUAAUACUGGAUAUGACCUUUCCUCGCAUGGGGUUGGGUGGAAGGUUUUUCGGCUGGGGAUGGGCCCGCGGCCUAUCAGCUUGUUGGUGGGGUGAUGGCCUACCAAGGCGACGACGGGUAGCCGGCCUGAGAGGGCGACCGGCCACACUGGGACUGAGACACGGCCCAGACUCCUACGGGAGGCAGCAGUGGGGAAUAUUGCGCAAUGGGCGGAAGCCUGACGCAGCGACGCCGCGU